GAUGAACGCUGGCGGCGUGCCUAAUACAUGCAAGUCGAGCGAACAGAUUAGGAGCUUGCUCCUCUGACGUUAGCGGCGGACGGGUGAGUAACACGUGGAUAACCUACCUAUAAGACUGGGAUAACUUCGGGAAACCGGAGCUAAUACCGGAUAAUAUAUUGAACCGCAUGGUUCAAUAGUGAAAGACGGUUUUGCUGUCACUUAUAGAUGGAUCCGCGCCGCAUUAGCUAGUUGGUAAGGUAACGGCUUACCAAGGCGACGAUGCGUAGCCGACCUGAGAGGGUGAUCGGCCACACUGGAACUGAGACACGGUCCAGACUCCUACGGGAGGCAGCAGUAGGGAAUCUUCCGCAAUGGGCGAAAGCCUGACGGAGCAACGCCGCGUGAGUGAUGAAGGUCUUCGGAUCGUAAAACUCUGUUAUUAGGGAAGAACAAAUGUGUAAGUAACUAUGCACGUCUUGACGGUACCUAAUCAGAAAGCCACGGCUAACUACGUG
rnacentral:rRNA from 1 species